UACAGAGGUCCCGAGCGUUGUUCGGAUUCACUGGGCGUAAAGGGUGCGUAGGUGGUGAGGUAAGUCGGAUGUGAAAUCUCCGGGCUUAACCCGGAAAUGGCAUUGGAAACUACCUUGCUAGAGGAUUUGAGGGGGGAUUGGAAUACUUGGUGUAGCAGUGAAAUGCGUAGAUAUCAAGUGGAACACCAGUGGCGAAGGCGAAUCCCUGGAAAAUACCUGACACUGAGGCACGAAAGCUAGGGGAGCAAACGGG
rnacentral:rRNA from 1 species